rnacentral:rRNA from 1 species
GUUCGCCUACGGGAGGCAGCAGUGAGGAAUAUUGGUCAAUGGGCGCGAGCCUGAACCAGCCACGUAGCGUGAAGGAUGACUGCCCUACGGGUUGUAAACUUCUUUUAUAAAGGAAUAAAGUGAGGCACGUGUGCCUUUUUGUAUGUACUUUAUGAAUAAGGAUCGGCUAACUCCGUGCCAGCAGCCGCGGUAAUACGGUGGAUCCGAGCGUUAUCCGGAUUUAUUGGGUUUAAAGGCAGCGUAGAUGGGUUGUUAAGUCAGGUG